rnacentral:snRNA from 1 species
AUACUUACCUGGCAGGGUGCUACUGUGAUCACAGAGGCAGAUUUCCCAGGGCCAGGUUUAUCCAUUGCACUCAGGAUGCGCUGACCCCUGCGAAUUCCCCAAGUGUGGGAAAGUGCACUGCAUAGUCUGUGACAAGAGGGGCUGAGUUCACACUUUCCUGG